GUUGGUGUAGCUCAGUGGUAGAGUGCAUGUGUUGUAUGUUUGAUGACCUGGGUUCAAUCCCUAGCUUCUCCC
rnacentral:tRNA from 1 species